UACAGAGGUGGCAAGCGUUGUUCGGAAUUACUGGGCGUAAAGGGCGCGUAGGCGGCCUUCUAAGUCAGACGUGAAAUCCCCCGGCUUAACCUGGGAACUGCGUCUGAUACUGGGAGGCUUGAGUAUGGGAGAGGGAUGUAGAAUUCCAGGUGUAGCGGUGAAAUGCGUAGAUAUCUGGAGGAAUACCGGUGGCGAAGGCGGCAUCCUGGACCAUUACUGACGCUGAGGCGCGAAAGCGUGGGGAGCGAACAGG
rnacentral:rRNA from 1 species